GAAUGCAAAUUCUAAUUUAAACAGCUUCUGUGUUGGGCCUGAGAGUCUGCGUUUCUAACAAGCCCCAGGUGAUCUUAUGCUGCCAGUUGACCACAUUUGAGUAGCAGGGAGCUAGAUGAUUCUUCAGGGGGAUGCUGCAGAAGGCUCUCGCUCUCCUGCUGACCUGAAAGAAGCAAGUGGCUGUAUUGUGAACUGCCUAAUGGAGAGGGCCACGUCGCGGGAAACUGGGGACGGCCUCAGGAGCUGAGUAACCUCUGGCCAACAGCCAGCAAGAAACUGAAUCUGUUGGUGCUACAGCUGCGAGGGAGUGAAUUCGGCAACAAGCUGAGUGAGCUUGGAAGUGAAUUCCUUCCUCAAGAUAAAAACACAGGCUGGCGGAUACCUUGGUUGCAGCCUUGUGUGACCCAGAGCCCAAGACCCAGUUAAGUCAUGCCUGGACUCCUGAUCUGCAGAAACCGGGAGACAGUAAAUGUGUGGUGUUUAAGCUGCUAAAUUUGUGGCAAUGUUUUUUACGCAGCAAUAGAAAACUAAUAUAUCCUCCCACCAGCAGUGUGUGAGAAUUUGACAUGCUUUCUGCCAAACCCCUCGUAUUGUCAGUCUUUUUAACUUUGGCCAUGCUGGUGGGUGUGUAUUGUGAUUUUAAUUUGAAUAUUCUAGAUGACUAAUAAUGUUGAGCACUUUUUCAUAUGCUUAUUGGUCAUUUGGAUAUACUCUUUAAUGAAGUGCCUUUCAAAUAUUUUCCCAUUAAAAAAAAUUGAGUUGCCUGUCUUUUUUUUUUUUUUUUGCUGGGAAAGAUUCACCCUGAGCUAACAUCUGUUGCCAAUCUUCCUCUCUCUUUUUUUUCUCCUCCCCAAAGCCCCAGUACAUAGUUGUAUGUUCUAGUUGAAAGUCCUUCUAGUUCUAUGUGAGCCACCACUACAGCAUGGCUACUGACAGACGAGACGAGUGGUAUGAUCCAUGCCCAGGAACUGGGCCCAGGCUGCCAAAGUGGAGCACACCCAAC
rnacentral:lncRNA from 1 species